AAAGCCCAGUUUCAAAGAACCAAUGCUUUAUUCAUUACGACAUCGCUGUAUGGAGCGGAAGCAUGGAAAUCCAUCCCUUUCAGUUUCUUUGAAAGAAAGAUUUUUCGAAUAAUGUUUGGUCCAGUGUACAUCAUUGCAGAUUGGACAAAGAUUAAACCAGGAGCUAUGGUGGUUAUAAAUUGGACUCCGUAAGUUGAUAACGACCUCAACUAACUUGAUGUAUGCAUUGAAGACACGAGAGGAACAGUUCGUUCGGGAAGGCAAAAACUUUGUAUGAAAGUGUCUUAUGCAACAAGAAUUCACUUCAGAGGUAAAAUUAAGACUUCUUGGAUGUAGUCUAUGGAAUGAAACCUUCAAAUGUUCGUGAACACUUAAAAAUAAAAAAAAAAACUUCUCAUCAAGUCGUGUACCUAAUCCUGACUUUUAUAUCAGAACGGACCGGGAAUUUAUUUUGAUUAUCUAUUAUUCAAAGACAAAAGUCGGCAAUGCAUCAAUUCCAUUGCGGGUUAAUUGAUGCCGUGAAACCUGCUUACACAGGCAGAUAGUAAAUAGGUUGAAGACACACUGGAGAAGAGUCAGAGGCCACAAUUGAUAUUGAAGGUCUGAAAAACUAAAUAAGUAAGUAAAUGCAUUUUUUCUCGAAUCUUUUUUUAUUUACAUAAACAACAAACUUGUUAAAGUGUAAAUCCUAAACUGCUGACACAACAGUCAGCACAUGAAAACAAAAACAUUUUCUCAAAUUAAAAGAAAUUACAUAAGAACAAAAAAUAAUUAUAAGUGAUUGGUACCUAUUAUUCAAAAACCUAAUGCACAAAAUUAAUUUCGAAAUAUUAUUAAUCAUAAGGAUAACAACUACAUCCACCCUCUGAUUCCCCAGUGCAUCCAUCUACUGAAUAACAAUUCUCAUUGAAAAUCAUAAUUGCAUCAUCCGUUGGAGUACUUAAAGGCAGAUCUUUCUCUCCGAACCUUAAAACUCUGAAAAACAAAAUGAAGCAAUACAAUUUUCUUCUUCACAUUUAGUCUAUUUGUGUUUCAAAUCUUACCCCGUAUUUGCCCAGUUGAUGUGCAUAUCAAGUAAUUUCCCAGAGAAUUUUUUAUCUUUGUCUGAAAAUUCUUUUUGCUUUAGAUUCUUUUUUGGAAUUAUAAAAAUUGUGUCAGCUGAAUGAUCAGCGCC